rnacentral:tRNA from 1 species
GCCGGAAUAGCUCAGUUGGUAGAGCAGAGACUG